GUGCUUGCUUCAGUACCACAUAUACUAAAAUUGGAACGAUGCAGAGAUGAUUAGCAUGGCCCCAUGCAAGGAUGACAUGCAACUUCGUGAAGCAUUCCGUGUUUUU